AUUGAACGCUGGCGGCAUGCCUUACACAUGCAAGUCGAGCGGCAGCGCGGGGGCAACCCUGGCGGCGAGCGGCGAACGGGUGAGUAAUGCAUCGGAACGUGUCCCGUAGUGGGGGCUAACCCGGCGAAAGCCGGGCUAAUACCGCAUAUGCUCUACGGAGGAAAGCGGGGGACCGAAAUGCCUCGCGCUAUGGGAGCUGCCGAGGUCGGAAUAGCUAGUUGGCGGGGUAAAAGCCCACCAAGGCGACGAUCGGUAGCUGGUAUGAGAGGAUGAACAGCCACACUGGGACUGAGACACGGCCCAGACUCCUACGGGAGGCAGCAGUGGGGAAUUUUGGACAAUGGGGGAAACCCUGAUCCAGCCAUGCCGCGUGCGGGAAGAAGGCCUUCGGGUUGUAAACCGCUUUUAGUCGGGAAGAAAAGGCGGCCCCUAAUACGGGUCGUUUUUGACGGUACCGGCGGAAUAAGCACCGGCUAACUACGUGCCAGCCGCCGCGGUAAAAC
rnacentral:rRNA from 1 species